UCUGAGCCACAUAAACAACUUUUUCCAUACUGAUCAUUUUUUUCAGUUCCGGUGUGACAUGCUUGCAAAUGCAGCCCAUGUCUGCAUUUUUCAAUACAUUGCAACACCCUUUAGAAGGAGGGAUUUUUGGUCCUGAAAUUUUGAUAUACUUAAAACAUUGUGCUCCCACUUCUCUAACUUUGUUGUCGUCACAAUUGUCUGAAAAGCCUGAAGCCCCGUAAUCGCUCAAAAUUAGAGCUCCUGCCAUUAUCAAUGUUGCUAAAAGCAUGCAUUGAGUCUUCAUAUUUGUCUUCUCUCUUUCAAAACAGUGAUGAUUUUGAUUUUGAUUUUUCACACUCUGAAUGAUGAUGAUGUUGUUGUAGAUAUAUA
rnacentral:lncRNA from 1 species